GACGAACGCUGGCGGCGUGCCUAACACAUGCAAGUCGAGCGAGGAACUUCGGUUCCUAGCGGCGGACGGGUGAGUAACACGUGGGUAACCUGCCUCAUAGUGGGGGAUAGCCCUCCGAAAGGAGGAUUAAUACCGCAUAAGAAGUAAGAAUCGCAUGAUUCUAGCUUUAAAGGAGUAAUCCGCUAUGAGAUGGACCCGCGGCGCAUUAGCUAGUUGGUGAGGUAACGGCUCACCAAGGCCACGAUGCGUAGCCGACCUGAGAGGGUGAUCGGCCACAUUGAAACUGAGGUACGGUCCAGACUCCUACGGGAGGCAGCAGUGGGGAAUAUUGCACAAUGGGCGAAAGCCUGAUGCAGCAACGCCGCGUGAGUGAUGAAGGCCUUUGGGUUGUAAAGCUCUGUCUUUUGGGACGAUAAUGACGGUACCAAAGGAGGAAGCCACGGCUAACUACGUGCCAGCCGCCGCCGUAAGAC
rnacentral:rRNA from 1 species